AGGCCAGUAGCUCAAUUGGCAGAGCACUCGUCUCCAAAACGAGGGGUUGAGGGUUCAAGUCCUUCCUGGCCUG
rnacentral:tRNA from 1 species